UACGUAGGGGGCAAGCGUUGUUCGGAAUUACUGGGCGUAAAGGGCGCGUAGGCGGCAUGGCAAGUCGGGAGUGAAAGCCCGGGGCUCAACCCCGGAACGGCUUUCGAAACUGCCAAGCUAGAGUACGGAAGGGGCAACUGGAAUUCCCAGUGUAGCGGUGAAAUGCGUAGAUAUCGGGAGGAACACCAGUGGCGAAGGCGGCUUCCUGGCCUGUUCUUGACGCUGAGGCGCGAAAGCUAGGGGAGCAAACGGG
rnacentral:rRNA from 1 species